UCUCAUAAAUAAGUGAUAUAGUAUGCAGGAAUAUUUUAUAGUGUUUUUAUAAUAUUAAGUUUAACCUCGAAACUUAAAUAUUCAAUAGUAAAAAUUAAAAAAUAAGACGCGUGUACCCCCUCUCCUUAUUUUGUUAACGCCUCUUUCCCUCCACUUCGAUUUCAUUUUCUUUAAGUAACAUUCUGUACUUCUAUUUUUUAAUAAGCUAAACAUUAUUUAAUACUAUUAAAAGCACAAACCAGAGACUGAAAAGUUUGUGUAAACCAUAUAGGUUAGGCAACCCAGUACCCGAACACCUGCCAAUAGUUGAACACAUUUGUAAUUUUUUGAUGAUUAUAACAAAAAUAUUAUUUUUAUCUAUAUUGUUAUAAUUUUAGUAGCAAGAAAAACAAUUUUUUGAUUUAGUUAAUACAUAUUUUUAAUAAAAAAAGUAUUUUAAAUAUGUAAAAAAUUAUUUUUUAGUGGCCCGCUGCGCCACCAAGCGUUCAGUUCUAGCUAGCUUAUAAGCGUCAUGUUUUCCUCACUUGGUGAAAAAUGUUGAAAAGAAUAAACGAUUUUUGUUUUCCAAGAAUUGGCAUUAUAAAAGGAGUUUCUGUAAAUACUGCAGAAGAACUUCUAUAAUAUUCAGAACCAUUACAAAAGAUCUUGCAAGUUAAAAAGUAGUGAAGAAGAUGCUGAUAGAAGAUGACUCCUUGAGACGUAUCUUAAUAAAAUUUGAUGGGCAUACCCUUCUUUAGUUCCGAUAUAUUUUCAAGGUAUACUAUAGCAGUCCCUGGGGACUUACAGUGAAUUUUCCGUUCAAGCGGCGUCACCCUCUGGGGACUGACAGUGGACUUUUUGUAACUGAUCGUCUCUUGGAGGUCGCCUUUUUGCCGUUCCCCAUCCCAUUAUCUUCUGUUUAUAAUUUGUAUACUUGUGCAUUGGCUGCACCAUUCCCACAGUUCAAACGAAAGAUGAAAAGGUGAAACAAAGUAAUCUUCUGUUUAUACUUUAUAUCCCAAACACCUCUUGAGCGCUCGGCACCAAGUGCUCGCUCACUGCCGUUUGAGCGGAAAGAAUAGCAAAAUCGGGGCCGCGCUUAACGUGUUAAAGCUAAAAAGAACGAACCGCUUCGAUCCCUUUUCGUUAUUUUCCGCGCCAAUCUUCAUAAUGUUCACAGAAUACUAAGUACACUGAGAAAAAGGGCAAUAUGAUCAUUACAAAAUACCACAAUUGAAAUUUUACAGUAGUGAGUUAACCAUAAACAUUGUAUAGCUGACUAGUAAAAUAAAUGUUAACGUUCCAUUUUUAUAAUAUUACAAUUACCCGAGCAGAAAUUUAUUCAGGAUAAAAUCCGGCUCAGGUUAGUUUUACCUUGUCA